rnacentral:rRNA from 1 species
UACGAAGGGGCUAGCGUUGCUCGGAAUCACUGGGCGUAAAGGGUGCGUAGGCGGGUCUUUAAGUCAGGGGUGAAAUCCUGGAGCUCAACUCCAGAACUGCCUUUGAUACUGAAGAUCUUUGAGUCCGGGAGAGGUGAGUGGAACUGCGAGUGUAGAGGUGAAAUUCGUAGAUAUUCGCAAGAACACCAGUGGCGAAGGCGGCUCACUGGCCCGGUACUGACGCUGAGGUGCGAAAGCGUGGGGAGCAAACAGGG